GUCUAAUAUGGAUCUUUGCAACCGUUAUGGAGUACAUGGGCAAUGCUGCUUGGUAGUAGUAGGUGUAGAUGAAAUAAGCACUGAGGAAAUGAUAAUUAGCUUCUUCGAACAAAAUGGCAAGAUUUCAAAGUGCAUUAGAAUUCCUGAUGAGCCUGGUCAACCCAAUGGUAGGGCACUGAUAGUUUAUGCUUCAGAAACCUCAAUAACUAAGAUCAACCCAGAUACCCUUGGUCAUAUACCCAGUCCCAAUGAUCCAGCCAUUUUAUGGCAUGUGAGAACAAUUAGAGACAUAUGCCAAGAAGAUUUAGGCAAAGAGCUAGCCCACCAGUACCUUGAAGAAUUGAGUGCCAUAGGUGGUAGUGCCACCUCGGGAUAUGCCAGCAUCCUGGAAAGAGAGCUGAGGCGUAUUCAGUCACAAGCUUCAGAGAAGACGCUCAGUGGUCCCUCCCCAAGAUGUAGCCCAAUGCCACACACUGAGAACGGCAUGAAUGUUGAAGCUGCUCAUAGUAUGGGCUCCCAAUGCAAUAGUCGGCCUCCUUCAGUCCUCCCUUCAAGUAAUCACUCAACUGUACAUAGUCCACUGAGCCUUGGCAGUGAUGUUUUAAACCCUCCCAGUGUCCAGAGAGUCAUUGUAGAGCAUGUCAUCAGGAAUGAUUCAGCACCCUUAUACACAGGUCAGAGCAAAGUCCGAACCUUCUCAGGAAGACUUCCAAAGCCCAAUGGCGAAGUGGAUUAUGAUGCUUGGAAGAGUCAAGUCGAGCUGCUUCUGAGUGAUGCCCAUGUCACUGACUCACAGAAAGUGAGAAAGAUUUUGGAGAGCUUGGUUGGCCCAGCUGCGGAUAUGGUCAAGCCACUUGGGAUCACUUCAGUCCCCCACGCAUAUGUGAAUCAGCUUGAAUCGGCUUUCGGUGUGGUGGAAGAUGGAGAAGAGUUGUUUGCCAAGUUCUUGAAUGCAAGCCAAAAUGCUGGAGAGAAGCCAUCAGACUACCUGUUCAGACUUCAGACUCUUCUCACAAAGGUCGUUUCUAGAGGGGGAAUCCUUCUUGAAGAGUCAGACAGACAGUUACUCAGGCAGUUUUGCAGAGGGUGCUGGGACCACUCCUUACUCAUUGGACUCCAGCUAGAACAGAAAAAGAGCAAUCCACCAUCUUUUCCUGAGCUGCUUCUUUCGCUUAGGACCGAAGAAGACCGCCGUGCAGCCAAGAUGGACAGGAUGAAAAAACACAUGGGAAGCACAAAAGCUAUGGCACACGCUCACACAGUAUAUGGCCUACCCACCUGUUAUAACAGCAUUGACACACCUGUUGAAGAAAAGCAUGAUGAUACAAAGAAAUUGCUUAAUGAGAUAUCAGAGCUGCGCAACCAGGUUGCCACUCUGUCCACCAGAGAUAAUGUGAGGCCACAGCCAAGCCUGAAGCCAGCUGCAUGAUCACAAAUGCCUCCAUGCCUCGUCAUGAUACUCCUCGCUUCCCAAAGCCUUGGUUCUGUUUUAAAUGUGGUGAAGAUGGCCACAUUGCUGCUCGCUGUUCGAGUGCCCCCAACCCUGUUCUGGUCCACCAGAAGAAUGAGGAGCUGAAAAGAAAACGUGAAGCUCAUAGAAGAUUGCACACAGUUUCAUCCAUGCCUUUAAACGAGUCGCAGCUCCUGUUUCGGGACGUUCAGGAGCUCAGUGCCAGAAUAUGAGUCCCAAACCUCUCGAUGCCAUUGUAAGGAGGACACACCGAAAGGAAAAUCACCAUCAGUGUCAGAAUGAUCAGUUCCUCCCCCAUGGACUCGUAGGGCCCCGAUGCACUGCCUCUGUUUUUAUUGAAGGAAUAAUGUGUGACUCCAUCCUCGACACUGGCUCCCAAGUCACCACCAUUUCAGAGACAUUCUACAUGAACAACUUGUCCUUCAUCCCCAUCCAGCCCAUUCAAGCCUUGUUCCAGAUAGAAGGUGCAGGUGGUCAACAUGUCCCCUAUAAAGGCUACAUCCAAGCCCUCAUCUCCUUUCCGGGCAACAUUACUGGCGUCACUGAGCAGAUCUCCUCUUUAGUCCUCAUCGUUCCAGACUGUCACUUCAACACCCAGAUUCCCCUGUUGGUUGGAACCAAUGUCUUAGAUAGAUUAUACAAAGAAGGUAUGGAAAAGCAUGGGCCAGAGUUCUUGCAAGGACCUGACCUUAAUCGUGACUGUGUCCUGCUGUUCCAGCAUGUUGCCUUGAGUCAUCAGGAAGAGAAUUCAGCCUGUAACAUCAAGCUGCAUGGGCGCCAUUCCAUCUCCAUCCCCGCAGGAGGAAAAGUGUCCGUCUUUGGUGACGUCAGAAUGACAAAGAACCCCCCACACUCCCUAUGUGUGAUUGAGUCCCCAGAAUGGUCGUCAUUACCAGGUGGUGUGUUUGUUGAGAGUGCCCUUCAAGAGAUCCCACACAGAUCUUCAAACAAGAUUCCCAUUGUCCUGAGGAAUGUGACUGACCGGGAUGUCAUGCUGCGUCCAAGGCAAGUCAUAGCUCAGUUGAUGGCUGCACAGUAUGUGAUGCCUUCUGAACCACAACAGUUAACACCUGAUGCUUCCCAUUCUGAGAACAGAUUAAAAUUUGACCUUGAAGAUUCCCCUAUUCCAGAGGAGUGGAAGAGACGAGUCACAGAGAAGCUGAACAGCAUGCCAGAGGUCUUUGCUGUCGAUGACCUGUCCCAUGGCCAUACCUCUGCUGUCAAGCAUCACAUCCGCCUUCAAGACGACACUCCCUUCAGAGAAAGACCCAGGCCCAUUCACCCCUCCGACAGAGAAGCUGUAAAGCAACACCUCAGAGAACUGCUAGAUGCUGGGAUCAUCAGAGAGUCAGAGAGUCCAUAUGCAUCACCCAUUGUUGUUGUCAAGAAGAAAAAUGGGAAGAUUCGACUUUGCGUAGAUUACAGGAAAUUGAACAUGCGAACAGUGAAAGAUGCUUAUGCUCUUCCCAACAUCGAAGACACCUUCUCUGCACUCAGCGGUGCAAAAUGGUUUUCUGUGAUGGACCUGAAGUCGGGCUAUUACCAAGUCGAGGUUGCAGAGGAAGACAAGCAAAAGACCGCAUUUGUCUGCCCUCUAGGUUUCUGGGAGUUCAACCGGAUGCCUCAAGGUGUGACAAAUGCACCAAGUACCUUCCAGAGACUUAUGGAGAAAUGUGUCGGAGACUUGCACCUGAACGAAGUUUUAGUCUUUCUGGACGACCUUAUUGUCUUUUCAGAGACAUUAGAAGAGCAUGAGGCCAGACUGAUGAAAGUGUUGAAUCGCCUUAAAGAAUAUGGUCUGAAAUUGUCCCCAGACAAGUGCCACUUUUUUAAGACCUCUGUCAAAUACCUUGGUCACAUUGUUGAUGCUGAAGGAGUCCAUACAGAUCCAAGUAAAGUUGCUGCAUUAAAAGAAUGGCCCCGUCCCACCAACAGAAAAGAGCUCAAAUGCUUCUUAGGAUUUGCUGGAUAUUACCGACGAUUCGUGGAAGGAUACUCUAAAAUAGCAAAGCCACUAAAUAGCCUAACAGCAGGAUAUGUGCCACCGAGGAAGAGAGGAAAGAUUUACAAAAGAGAAAAGACAAAAUCCCUCAUUAAUCCCACCCUGCCUUUUGGAGAUGAAUGGACGCGAGAAUGUGAAGCUGCCUUCAGAACUCUGAUAGAUAAAUUGACCUCAGCACCUAUCCUGGCCUUUGCCAAUCCCAACCUUCCCUAUGUCCUCCAUACUGAUGCCAGCCGUGAUGGUCUUGGGGCUGCUCUCUACCAAGAACAAGAUGGAGAGCUCCGAGUCGUUGCUUAUGCCAGCCGAGGGCUGUCCCGAAGUGAACAGAAUUAUCCUGUCCAUAAGCAAGAGUAUCUAGCUUUAAAGUGGGCCAUCUGUGAGAAAUUCCAUGAUUAUCUUUAUGGCACUGAUUUUCAAGUUCUUACUGACAACAACCCAUUAACGUAUGUCUUGACAUCUGCAAAGCUUGACGCAGCAGGCCAUCGCUGGUUGGCUGCUUUGUCCACAUACCGCUUCACCAUCAAGUAUAGAGCGGGGAUCAGCAACCAAGAUGCUGAUGGGUUGUCCAGGAGACCGCAGAGUCCAUCUGAAGAGGAUGAAGAGUUCAGGGAAGAGAAAGCAAGGAUCGAGGAGAUGAAGCAACGGAUCUUGAACGAAGAUAGCAAGUUGAUCUCUGGUGAAAUGCUCUCUGCAGUAUGCCAGCGCCACUCCAUGAUUGUCCCAGCUGACGGAUGUUUGCUGCCAGAAUCCCCCAUCCUUGCUGAGUCCUUGGCUGUUGAUGCGUCUGCCGUUCCAGAUUACUUUGAGUCUUCAGGGCAAGGCACUAUCCCCGGAAUGACUCAUAGUGACUGGUACCAGGCCCAAAGGGAAGACCCCUCCAUCAGAUGUGUGAUUAGAUUUGUCCAGAGCAAGCGGAAGCCUACCUUCAAAGAUUUAUCUUCUGAGUCAUUGGAAACGAAGCUACUCCUUAGAGAAUGGAAAAGGCUUGAGUUUCGAGAUGGAGUACUGUUCCGUAGAUGUCUGGAUAGAGGCACUGAAGUCCAUCAACUGGUUCUACCCACUAAACAUCGGGCCAGAGCACUGCAUGGUCUCCACGAUGAACUUGGCCACCUUGGCGCUGAGCGUCUUCUCCACCUUGCCCGUGCUAGGUUUUACUGGCCGAAGAUGUUCCAGUCUGUUGAGCUGAAGUGCCAGACGUGUGAGAGGUGUGUGAGACGGAAGGCGCAUGCCCAGAAUGCUGCUCCCAUGGAAAGCAUCCGAACUAGUCACCCCCUGGAACUUGUAUGCAUGGAUUUCCUUAGUAUUGAACCUGACAACAGAGACAUCAGAAACAUCCUUGUCAUCACAGAUCACUUUACAAAGUAUGCCAUUGCAGUUCCAACAAAAGAUCAGAAAGCCAACACAGUUGCGAAAGCGUUAUGGGACAACUUCAUUGUGAAUUAUGGAUUUCCAAGUCGUUUACUCAGUGACCAGGGAAGGGACUUUGAAUCCCGCACCAUAAAAGAACUAUGCUCGCUCAUUGGCACAGAGAAAGUGAGAACGACGCCAUAUCAUCCACGCGGCAACCCCGUCGAAAGAUUCAACAGAACGCUCCUAAGCAUGCUUGGUACUCUGGAAGAAAAAGACAAAUAUCACUGGAGGGACUUUGUCAAGCCGUUAGUCCAUGCAUACAAUUGCACCAGGAACGACACCACUGGAUACUCACCAUAUGAGCUGAUGUUUGGCAGGCAGCCGAGACUCCCCAUUGAUCUUCUCCUUGGUCUUCAGCCAAACCAAGAUGGGUUCAAGUCGCACUCAGACUAUGUGAAGGGCCUUCGUCAACGCCUGCAAGACAGUUAUGCCCUCGCUUCGGAGAGCUCAAGGAAGAUGGGCGAAAAGAACAAGGCAAGAUUUGACAGCAAAGUCAGAGCAGCAGAACUCGUUGCUGGAGACAGAGUCCUUGUGAGGAACGUGAACCUUCGAGGAAAACACAAGCUCGCAGACAGGUGGGAGAGAGAAGUCCAUGUUGUGGUGAAGAGAAUAGGUGAUGGUCCGGUCUAUGUCAUCAGACAGGAAAGGGGUGACACUCCGCACCGCACCCUCCACAGAGAUCUCCUCCUGCCCUGUGGGUUCCUGCCUGUUGAUGAGACUGGACCUGAACCUGAAGUCAAUCUGCCGACAAGAAGGUUAAGAUCCGGGAUAAAGACAACUCAGCAGAACAGAAAUGAUGAAUCCGUUGGUGGCAGCAGUGAUGAACUCAGCAGUGAUGAAGAAGAAUGCUACCCAUCACAACUCCCUCAGAUCUCCACAAGGUCCUUCAUCAAAAUGGAAGGUGCCAGAGAAACAACACAGAACAUCCCAGAACAGUAUCCUCCAGAACCCUCCACCUCAGCUGGACUGAACCCGUGUCCAACCAAGGUCCAUCAGUUCAAAAGCCCACUCAGCAAUGUAUUGCCCUUCACUGAUCCUGUCAUACACUCACCUGCAAGCGAACCUGUUAAUGGGCCAUCUCCACACACCAAUGCCGUGCCACAGACUAGACCUUUUCAGAGAAACUCAGUUGAUGAAGAAGAGACAGAGACUGUGCUACCCAUGGAUGCGAUACCCCAUGUUGAACCUGUUGACCUGCCAGAGAGAGAAGCCGCUGAAGUUCGAAGAUCCACCAGAGAAAGACGUCCACCUGAAAGACUGUGUUACGGAGAACUGGGAAGACCCUUGGUGCUAGCUCUUGCCUCCUUCUUCGAAAGUCUAAGCAGAACUGUCUAAGUCCUCUAGAAGGCGCACUAAAUAGUCUUAACACGCAUGCAGAGACUCGUGCGGUUUAGAGGGGGAGAAUGUAACCCAUGUCAUUUUCAGACGCUCCCUUAAUUCUUUUAUUGUGCUAAGAAUUUCCUGAUAGUCCCUAGAGCGUGCCAUAGAAUGUUUUGAAUCAAACCAGAUGCGGAAAACCAACUACGCUCAAUCAGACACGAUAGACCAACGAAUGACUAAGAAGAAGUAGAAGUAGAAAAACAGAAAAGAAAGAAGAAAGUAGAACAAAUAGAAAGAAAAUAGAUUCCCCCCAUUUGAUCCUCAUCUUCAACGCCUUCCUUUUUUAUCGACUUCCUUCCCUUCGAUUUAUGUCCUGCAAUCAAGUCCCGAGAUCGUCGUGAGCUUGAUUUUCCUACCCGAUAUCCUGGUGAGCAAAUUAUUAACUUUGUAACUUAUACUAAUAUGUUAAGCUAAGCUAGGUUAUUGUAAACAGGUCCUGGUGAGCCUUAUAAGCUUCCUACAUGGUAAAUUGGCAUGACAUAGUCUUAAAACCAGUCAGGAUACUCUGAAUGGACUUCGACCUUAUGGUUUAGUAGGUUUUUGUGUAUUUUAGGAAUUUUGAGUGUCUUAUAUUUUCAUCAGUAUGGGUCAGUGACAGUUACGUUGCUGGACAGUUAGCUCUCUGGCUAGCAUGGUUUCUAAGCAACAAUGUCGGUCUAGCAAGACAGCAAUCUCCGGUAGCUGACUUUACGGAGAUGUGCUGUAAGAAUGAAUUUAUUUGUUGUUUUGUAUGUUGCCGUAAUGACAACAAUAACAUGGAUAAGGAAAGGUUACUGUAGUGAUUAAAUGAAAUGGAAUUUAAUAGUAAUUGAAUAGUCUGUAUAAUUCUGUGCAGACUGGUUUUUUCGUACCCCUGGAAACGUCCCCCGAAUCACCUUCAUCUUUACCUGGAACCCCUGGAGCCCUGAUCUGCACUCCCCACCUUAUCAUCAUUUUCCCCUUGCACACCCCCCUGUCUUCCUCUGAUUGAACUGUCCCCCAUCAACGUCCACUGUCCCUGCUACUGUGGUGUGAAAGGCAGGUGCUCGAAAUCUCCGAGUCAGAGUCUGUCUCUCUCUCUCUCUCUCUGUCUCUCUCCCCUUCUCUAAGAGCUCUC